ACGGAGGCAGUAGUGGGGAAUAUUGGGCAAUGGGCGCAAGCCUGACCCAGCAAUGCCGCGUGAAGGAAGAAGGCUUUCGGGUUGUAAACUUCUUUUAAGUGGGACGAUAAUGACGGUACCACUUGAAUAAGCUCCGGCUAACUACGUGCUAGCAGCCGCGGUAAUACGUAGGGAGCAAGCGUUAUCCGGAUUUACUGGGUGUAAAGGGCGUGUAGGCGGGACUACAAGUCAGAUGUGAAAGCACGGGGCUCAACUCCGUGUCUGCAUCUGAAACUGCAGUUCUUGAGUGCUGGAGAGGCUAACGGAAUUCCUAGUGUAGCGGUGAAAUGCGUAGAUAUUAGGAGGAACACCAGUGGCGAAGGCGGUUGGCUGGACAGUAACUGACGCUGAGGCGCGAAAGCGUGGGUAGCAAACAGGAUUAGAUACCCUGGUA
rnacentral:rRNA from 1 species